rnacentral:rRNA from 1 species
CGGAGGGUGCAAGCGUUAUCCGGAUUCACUGGGUUUAAAGGGUGUGUAGGCGGGUACUUAAGUCAGUGGUGAAAUCUCCAGGCUCAACCUGGAAACUGCCAUUGAUACUAUUUAUCUUGAAUCUUGUUGAGGUAGGCGGAAUAUGUCAUGUAGCGGUGAAAUGCUUAGAUAUGACAUAGAACACCGAUUGCGAAGGCAGCUUACUAAGCAAGGAUUGACGCUGAGGCACGAAAGCGUGGGGAUCAAACAGGAUUAGAUACCCUGGUAGUCCACGCCCUAAACGAUGAUUACUCGACAUACGCGAUACACAGUGUGUGUCUGAGCGAAAGCAUUAAGUAAUCCACCUGGGAAGUACGUCCGCAAGGAUG